rnacentral:rRNA from 1 species
UAUGUGAUCGUCUCUCGCAUAUCAAUAAGCGGAGGAAAAGAAAAUAACAAUGAUUUCCCCUAGUAACGGCGAGUGAAGCGGGAAGAGCUCAAAUUUGAAAUCUUAAAGGGUUUCCCUUUACGAAUUGUAGUUUAAAGAAGUGUUUUCUGUUGAGGUUUUGGUAAAAGUUCUUUGGAAUAGGACAUCAUAGAGGGUGAGAAUCCCGUAUUUGACCUUUACUUUCAACUUUGUGAUACACUUUCAAAGAGUCGGAUUGUUUGGGAAUGCAGUCCAAAAUGGGUGGUAAAUUUCAUCUAAAGCUAAAUAUUGGCGAGAGACCGAUAGCGAACAAGUACCGUGAGGGAAAGAUGAAAAGAACUUUGAAAAGAGAGUUAAACAGUACGUGAAAUUGUCAAAAGGGAAGCGUUUGACACCAGUGUUGUUUUUCUGAAAAUCAAUUAAAGAACUGUUUAUGCUAAGUUGUUUAGACUUUAUCAGCUAAUCUGUUUAGUUUUGAGCUUUUCUUUAAUGCACUUUUCAGUUAACAAGUCAACAUCAAUUUCUUUUGCUGUAAAAAAGCUUGAGGAAGGUGGCUUGAGAUUCGUCUUAAGUGUUUAUAGCCUCUUGCCUAUGCAGUCGGAGAGAUUGAGGUCUGCAGCGUAGAUCCUUCGGGGCUAAAUGCAUUUGUGCUAAGUUAUAGCAUUUUAUAGACAACUUGUUGACUAUGAUUUGUCUUGUAGCUUACUCGCUUAUGUUAUUUUACCUACGCUUAGGAUGUUGAAGUCAUGUAUCGCGC